rnacentral:rRNA from 1 species
GCAACCCUUUUCCUUACUUGCCAGCAUUUCGGAUGGGAACUUUAAGGAUACUGCCAGUGACAAACUGGAGGAAGGCGGGGACGACGUCAAGUCAUCAUGGCCCUUACGGCCAGGGCUACACACGUGCUACAAUGGUCGGUACAAAGGGUUGCUACACAGCGAUGUGAUGCUAAUCUCAAAAAGCCGAUCGUAGUCCGGAUUGGAGUCUGCAACUCGACUCCAUGAAGUCGGAAUCGCUAGUAAUCGCGGAUCAGAAUGCCGCGGUGAAUACGUUCCCGGGCCUUGUACACACCGCCCGUCACACCAUGGGAGUUUGUUGCACCAGAAGUAGCUAGCCUAACUGCAAAGAGGGCGGUUACCACGGUGUGGCCGAUGACUGGGGUGAAGUCGUAACAAGGUAGCCGUAGGGGAACCUGCGGCUGGAUCACCUCCUUA